AAAGCUGCUGAUUUCGUUCACGGAAAAAACAAAAAGCACGCUUCCAGUAGAGCGACCCGGAGUAGGUCGCGAGUGGCCUGGUGCAGAGCAGCCUGUGCAAGCCCAGGGCUGGGCCUGUCUUACCAGAAGACAUGCAAAUCCUCCUAGAGGCUGGCCUCCACAGUCCCCCAGCAAAGGAAUUUUGAUCUUGCAGAAAAGAUUUGCAUUUGGAUGAAGGAUUUCUAUCACACUCUGAGGCUGCACCUGGAUGCAAAUUCAGGAAGAGUGGACUAAGAGAUAACCUCACUUUAUUAAAAAAAAUUCAACGUGGAACAGGACUGCAGGAAGCCUUGAUUUCUACCCAUCAUGAAGAUGUGCCUAGGUGCAUGCACAGCCAUUGGAUGUUGGCGGUCAACUGCAUACUGUCAGUCUAAUCUAGCCGUCAUCUGGCCUUUCCUCUUCAGAUCUGCCUGGGCAGCUCCCCUGGAGUCUGCAGGGUGGAGUCACCAUUUUGGCUUGAGUAAACUGCAUGGAGAUGUGUUUCUUCAUACCCAGGGACUUACUGGAGUAGUCCUCUAGGGGCACGGAGGAGUUGCCCAGUAACCUUCACCCUUGCUUCUCUAGUGCUCACCAUUUGAGAAGACUGUCCUGGGAGUAGUUUGGUUGGAGGUGGGAGGCUGGUUCUUUCAUUGCCCCUCACCCAGUGACAUGCCAGCUCUUAGCAUGCAAACCAAACCAUUUCACCGGGAAGAGAAGAUGCCAAGGGGAAAGAAUCAACACCAAAGGGGUCUUUGUUCGUUGCUCCAACUUCUUAGAGAAAAAAGGAAAUAGAAUUUUCUCCAGAAUUCUGCUUUGUGUUUUAAGAUGUGAACUGGAGAAUCAUUUGGGAACCAUCGCUAGCCCAAAUCAAAGGGGAAUGAAGCUAGACACAUCUUAUAAUGUAUGUCCAAUUACCUGGAUAUUAUUUUACAGGUCUAAAUAGAGAGAACAUGAUUUUAAAAUUAGAGAUGAUAGCUCAAUAUGUUAAUCUUGUAUAAAAAUUAGAUCAGGGUGCUCAUCAGACUAUAUUUUGCUUAAUGUGGUUUUACUAAAUAGGGAUUUUCAAGAGUGGUUCACAACUGCUAAUGCAGUCAUUAUGCUAGUUAGUGCUAUACACUGUAAGACAAGAAAAACUGAGUUGAUUAGACGUUCUAUUUAAUUCCAUUGGUCAUUAAAAAAUGGAGUAUCCUGGGGUCUGGCUGAGCAGCAGAAGCAUAACAGCUGAAGAUGGGGUGAAACGCAAACGUGCUUCCCAGAGCUCUCUUCUUGGGUCUUAUUUUGCAAGUUUGCAAGACGAUUUCAACCAAUCUACUCCCUUGAAAUGCCUUCUACAAAAAUCACUGUUUCUUUGGGCCUUAAAAUUCUGGAAAAGCUUUGAGUUCCCUUAAGGAGUCUGAAGUUUAUACCCAGUUUUAUCAAGGGCAGAAUUACGUGCUGCAGUCCACCUAUUACUAGAGUUUACCUGCU